rnacentral:rRNA from 1 species
AACGAACGCUGGCGGCGUGCCUAACACAUGCAAGUCGAGCGCGAAAGGAGCAAUCCGAGUAGAGCGGCGCACGGGUGCGUAACACGUGGAUAAUCUGCCUCAGGGUUGAGGAUAACCUUCCGAAAGGUUGGCUAAUACUCGGUAAGCUUACGGUGACUUCGGUCGCUGUGAGAAAACUAGACCUCUAUUUAUAAGUUUAGGCCCAGAGAUGAGUCCGCGGCCCAUCAGCUAGUUGCGGGGUAACGGCCCACCAAGGCUACGACGGGUAGCUGGUCUGAGCGGACGAUCAGCCACACUGGAACUGAGACACGGGCCAGACUCCUACGGGAGGCAGCAGUGGGGAAUUUUCCACAAUGGGCGAAAGCCUGAUGGAGCAACGCCGCGUGUGUGAUGAAGGUCUUCGGAUCGUAGAGCACUUUCGACUGGGACGAAAAACCUUUGGCUAACAUCCAGGGGCCUGACGGUACCAGGAGAAGAAGCACCGGCUAACUCUGUGCCAGCAGCCGCGGUAACAC